UUAAAUUGAAGAGUUUGAUCAUGGCUCAGAUUGAACGCUGGCGGCAGGCUUAACACAUGCAAGUCGAACGGUAACAGAAAGUAGCUUGCUACUUUGCUGACGAGUGGCGGAC
rnacentral:rRNA from 1 species